AUCAUUCGUGGUAUUGUAGUGAUUCACUACCCGAUUAAUAAAACCCAUAUUUUAAUUCUUUUAAUUUUAUGGAUUUUUGGCAUCUGAUUUUGGUUUUUGAAUAAAUCAAAUUUGUUUACUGUUAGUCAAAUUUGUUUAGAUCUUUUCAUCGGGGGUUACAAACAGCAACGCUUUCUUCCUGAAGAAUAGCGAAUUUGGUCUCGGUUUGAAGAAAAUUUGAAGCCCAUAAAAGAUUGCAUCUCCUGCUGUCGAUUUGAUUUGGGAGAUUGGGUUUUUCGAGUUUGUGACUGUUCUUUGGAGCCUGCGAAGACCUGUGUGUUUAAGGAGAUUGGGUUUUUCGAGUUUGUGACUGUUCUUUGGAGCCUGCGAAGACCUGUGUGUUUAAGGAGAUUGGGUUUUUCGAGUUUGUGACUGUUCUUUGGAGCCUGCGAAGACCUGUGUGUUUAAGGAGUUGUGGGUCUUCAUUUUUUGGGGCCUUUUUCUCUGCCAUUGUAACAUUUUCGUAAUAGAGUUUUAAGAUUUUUGGAGGACUACAACAUAUCAAGUAUGGAGGGAAUUGAUAGAAGCGAUAUGUCAGAGGUUGGCAAUGAAGAAGUUGACUUUGGACAAACAAAUGUUCACAAUUUUCAACAGUCAGACCCAAGGUAUCGUAGGAGUAAUCAACAAAGGCAAAAUCAUAGGAGCAAUCAACAAAGACAAAGACGACAAUCUAUGAAUUCAUCACAGCGAGCUCGAAUUUCAAUACGACGACGUGCCAAUUAUCAAACCCGCU